UAAAAAAAGGUAAGCUACUAAGAGCGAAUGGUGGAUGCCUUGACUGGUAAAGGCGAUGAAGGACGUACUAGACUGCGAUAAGCUACGGGGAGCUGUCAAGAAGCUUUGAUCCGUAGAUUUCCGAAUGGGGCAACCCAAUGUAUAGAGAUAUACAUUACCUAUAUAGGAGCGAACGAGGGGAAUUGAAACAUCUUAGUACCCUCAGGAAAAGAAAUCAAUAGAGAUUGCGUCAGUAGCGGCGAGCGAAAGCGCAAGAGGGCAAACCCAGU
rnacentral:rRNA from 1 species